UACGUAGGGUGCGAGCGUUAAUCGGAAUUACUGGGCGUAAAGCGUGCGCAGGCGGUCUGUUAUGUCUGAUGUGAAAGCCCCGGGCUCAACCUGGGAGGUGCGCUCGAAACGGGUUUGCUGGAGUUCGGGAGAGGAGCGUGGAAUUCCCAGUGUAGAGGUGAAAUUCGUAGAUAUUGGGAAGAACACCGGUGGCGAAGGCGGCGCUCUGGACCGAGACUGACGCUGAGGCGCGAAAGCGUGGGGAGCAAACAGG
rnacentral:rRNA from 1 species